rnacentral:misc_RNA from 1 species
GAUGAAGAACGUAGUGAAAUGCGAUACUUGGUGUGAAUUGCAGAAUCCCGUGAACCAUCGAGUCUUUGAACGCAAGUUGCGCCCGAAGCCAUCAGGUUGAGGGCACGUCUGCCUGGGCGUCACAUAUCGUUGCCCAAUGCCUAUUGCAGUGCAAUAGGAAUUUCUAGGGCGAAUGAUGGCUUCCCGUGAGCGUUGUUGCCUCGCGGUUGGUUGAAAAUCGAGUCCUUGGUAGGGUGUGCCAUGGUAGAUGGUGGUCGAGUUAGAGCGAUACCGAUCAUGUGCAUGCUCCCCAAAAUAUGGCCUCUAUGACCCACACGCGUCUUUUGACGCUCAUGACGAGACCUCAGGUCAGGCGGGGCUACCCGCUGAAUUUAAGCAUAUCAAUAAGCGGAGGA